CCUCAUCCUUCCUUCUCGGCUCAGGUCACUGCCAAGGCUGGGCUGGAAACUGGCUGAAGAAGGGAGGAAGUGGCUGGCCUGAAGGGGAGGUAGGCUGUAGGCCCCAGUCUGAGGAAGCACUUUCCUGCUAGAGGUAAUCUUCAGCUGGGGAAUCCCCAGCUUCAUGUUGGGGGGAGUGAGGAGAAAGUGACUCCUGACCUAUGGACAAAGUCAUCCCUUUAUUGGAUUAAGUAUUUACAGCUUGAACUACCUUCGGUCCUUGGAGGUAUGUAUAUACUUGCAUUCACAGGAGGGUGUGGCUGCUGUGACUGAUGAAGGACUGGGGAUAUGUACAUGUUCACACAAACACCUUUACACGACCACAUUCUCACCCCACACUUAACUCAUCUAUAUUCAUAUGUGUACACUCAGACCCUGAUAUCAACUGUUACUCAUUCAUAUACUCAGAUGCUCAAACGCACUUAGAUACAAUCAUGCACAUUCAUGAACCUCCACAUUCACAGGCUACACAUCUACACUCCAUAUUCUUAUAAUCACACAUACUCUUACAAUUGGGUAUGCAUUAGAACAUGUGCACACACUCAAGUGCACUCACACUUGAAUAUACACUUACCUACACUUCUAUUUGCAGGGGGCCAGAAGCCAUACAUCUAAGCACUGAGUUUGACAGAUUGGAGUGUUUUAGGGGUAAGUGUUGAGGCAAGGGGAAGGGGAGAGAUUGUGGUACUAAAAACAAGUUGCAGGUCAAAUGUGGGAUUGGGAAAUCUUUUGAGGUCACAACACAGAGUUUUAGAGCAAGGGGUCAGGAAGAAGGUUUGAAGACUGACUGAGUCCCAGUGCCUGAGCAGGGCACAUAGUAACUGUCAGCAAAUAGGUGCCAGUUAAGCGGACAGAAUCUUCCAAUAUCUAGGCUGGGGCUGGGCUGUAGCCCAGUGGUAGAGCACUUGCCUAGCACAUGUGAGGCACUGGGUUAGAUUCUCAGUAACACACACACACACACACACACACUAAAUAAAUAAAUAAAUAAGUAAAGGUAUUGUGCCCACCUACAACUAAAAAUAAAUAAAUGAAAAUCUCCCAAUAUCCAACUGAUAGAUUUGUCUGUCUGUCUAAACACAGAAGUUUAGAAUCCUAGGCAACCAGAGAGUCAGCUCAUUUAACCUUCUGAAGUCACCACUCCACAUCCUUCCUGCCAUUCUACAGAAUAGGAUACUGAGUCUCAAAUACAGGUGACUUGCAUAAAGCUACUGGGUAAGGCAAUCGUCAGUCCAAGCCUGGGUCCUUGGGAAUGAACAGAAAGUGACUAUUCUGGGCUGUCCCAGGGAGAUUUGGGCCCUCACCAAGAAAGAAGAUGUAGGUUCCUUUGAAAUACACAGGAUCAAGGAGACCUAUAGAAGCUCUGGAGUAGGGCUCCUUGGAAGGUCUCCUGUGUAAAAUAGUGCCUCCUGGCCUUUCUGCCCAAAGCCUUGGGUUUCUUUGUUUAUUAGUUCAGCAGAUACUAUUGAACACUUUUUUUGGGUGCUCCACCACUGAGCCACAUCCCCAGCCCUAUUUUGUAUCUUAUGUAGAGACAGGGUCUUACUGAGUUGCUUAGCACCUUGCUUUUGCUUGCUUUUUUUUUUUUUUUUUGCUCUUGCUGGCUUUGAACUUGCCAUUUUCCUGCCUCAGCCUCCCAAGCCAUGAACACUUUUUUUUUUCAAAUAUGAAAUUCCAUACAUUAUUAUUAUUAUUAUAAUAUUAUUAUUAUUAUUAUUAUUAUUAUUAUUAUUAUUUUGCAUUACUGGGAUCGAACCCAAGGCCUUGUGGAUGUUAGGCAAGUGUUCUUCUAUAAAGCACAAUCCCAGCCCUUUAAAAUUUAAAAAAAAAAACUUUAAAAAAAUUGUUCUAAUUAUUGAUACAUGACAGCAGAAUGCAUUUCGAUUCAUUGUACAAAAAAUUGUUUUUACAUUUUGUGGUAGGUUCUUGCUAAAUUGCCCAAGGAACUUUCAAUCCUCCUGCAUGGGCCUCCAGAGUAGAUUGUAUUAUAGGCUUGCACUGCCACACCUGGGUAACUCAGUGAUUUAAAAAAAAAAAUGUUUUUAAAUGAAACUACAUACUUUUUUAAUAUUUUUUUUUUAGUUUUAGAUGGACACAAUAUCUUUAUUCUUUUUUAUUUUUAUGUGGUGCUUAGGAUUGAACCCAGUGCCUCACCUCAUGCAAGCUAGGUGAGGACUCUACCACUGAGCCACAACCCCAGCCCAACUCAGUGAUUUUAAUAACUUUAUCAAAUGGUGCAACUGCCACCAUAAAUUAUUUUAGAACAUUUUUAUGCAUUUAAAAGUUUUAUUUUCCAGGCUGAGGCAGGAGGAUUGAAAGUUAGAGGCCCUAAGCAACUUAGUGAGACCCUAUCUCAAAAUAAAAAAUAAAAAAGGGUUGGGGAUGUGGCUCAGUGGUUAAAUGCCCCUGGGUUCAAUCCUAUUACAAAAAAAAAAAAAAAAAAGUUUUAUUUUUCUCAUUAAAACUGUCAGUAUAAAGAAAGUUAUUUGGAAUCACAUUAUACCUUUAAUUUUUUUCAUGGAGAAUAUUUCCUUUAUUAUGUAGUUCCAGGCCUUCUGGACAUAUUCUAAGUAAUGUAUUUGUUAACAUGGUAGUUUCAGUUGGGCAAAACAUGACGCCAAUAAAAUUGAAUUUAAUUUGUCACAUAUUUCCAGUGGUAACCAAUGAUCGG
rnacentral:lncRNA from 1 species